GUGAAUCAUCGAAUUUUUGAACGCACAUUGCACUCCCUUCGAAGCGUAUGCCUGUUUGAGUGUCAGUAUUAAUAAAUUUCGGUGUGUUGCUUCUUUGUGACGAUCCGGCGUUUGGGUCAUCUUAUUAUCCUUUAGGCUGUAAGAGGCUUAAAAUUGACUUUUUUUGCGCAUUUUCGAUGUACAUAAAUUCUUUUUUUUAUUCGUCUGUCUUAAUGCUCAAAUUCCUAUUAGCUGCGACCAUAUCGUUUGGUUUCGUGACUAUAAAU
rnacentral:misc_RNA from 1 species